ensembl:lincRNA
UGACAAUUCAUUUUAUUGGAGAGGCAAGACAUCCAGAAAAGGGGAUGAGGGAUCAAAAGAAUAAGGUGAUUGAAACAAUUUUAAGUGAGUUUGGCUGAGGAAAGUAGCUCAGAGAUAACCCUGAGUUCUUGCUAAUCCUUUCCUGUUGGAGGGAAAGUGGUGGAACCCUCCUAAGGAAAGGAAAGUAGAGUUUUCUUGGGACCCUGAAUCCCAAAGACUCCACCCUGCCCAAGAAUCCAGGUACCAUUCCACGGACGAGUUCAUCUCAGGUUAUACCCGUCCCUAUUCCAAACCUUAUGCCCCCAUUUACAGUUCAUCUUUAUUUCCCACCCUUUAUUCAGUUAUCUCUGAUCUGCACUUGCCUGGCUGAAAUACCCUUCCUCCAUGGCUGAUUGACUUCAGAAAAUUCCCCAUCCUUCAAAAGCAACAAUCAAGCACAGCCCCCUCCAAAGGCCAUUUCCUUAAAACUCUUAACCUUAUAUUUCCCCUCAGCACUUAACAUUUCCUAUUGGGUCAGGUUUGGCUUCUCCACUCAGUUGAGUGCUCCCUGAGGGUAAGAUCUGGGCCCAACACACCAGCAAAGUGCCUGACACACAGUGGGGACUCUAGAAAAUGCUUACAGAACGGGAAGUAGGAGUCCUGAGCCACCUACUUUAUUUAUGGCUCGAUCUCUAAAGAAUGACUUCGGGGAAGACCCUCCAGUCUUGGCCUCGGUUGCUCUAACUCUGAAAUGGGAGGACUUGAAUGACUGGGUCUCUAGGCCCUUUCCACUGUGACAACUGAGAUUCCGCGAAAGCUCUAAGCGGCUAGGCGUGGCCCCGCCCCCUGGGCGCCCAGAAAGCCCGGGUAGGGGGCGCGCAAAGACUCCAACCCCGCCCAACCCCCCGAUCGAGGCUUCCCCAAAACUCUGGGUCCCCCUCCCCCACGGCGUGCACCCGGUGAUUGGGCCGCGGUCGGCACUUCCGCACCGCGGGCCUGGCGGCCGGGGAAGGGCGCUCUGCACCCCGCGCUCCUGCCACCCUAGAGGCGCUCUCGCCCGGAGCGGGCAGGGGGUUCCUGAAGCGCCCGCGGGCGGAGGGUGAGGGGGAAGGAAGGAGGAUUUGCAACAAUACCUCAGGGAGGAGGCAGACGGGGCAGCGGCAGCAGCGGCGGCUGGAGGCGGAGGCAGAGGCGGAGGAGGAGGUGCCCGGGCACUCCCCCUCCCAUUGUCCCCAGCCCCGGACAGGCCCGGCCCCACGCCCCGCACCGGUCCGGGCGCCCGCGCCCAGCGCCCCGCGUCCCGGGCCGUGCAGCCAGCCCUUACCUUGCAGCGCUCGGCUCUCCCCGAUCGCUAAGCUACUUAUCCCGGGAAAGCUCGCGCGGGGCCCGGGAGCGAACCCACAGACAAAAAGUGAAACUUCGGCAGGGCUGGAGCGGCUGCUGACCUCCUCCUGAGCCCCACCCCGGAUUCCCAGCAAGACUCAAAACUUACAGGAUGUUCAAACUGGCAGAGACAAACUUUCAACCCAUUCACUUCACCCGUGAGAAUGCUGAAACUUGCAGAAAAGAAAUGAUUUGCACAGAGCCUACGCUCAACAGAUCCAGGAGCGGGACCCGAGUCCCUGUCUCCCCUCAGGAUUGAUUCCAGCCCGCAGGCAGGGUCCUGACUGCCUCCCUGAGCUGAGAACCAGGUUAGAUAUCAGACUAGGCAGGAGGACCACCCAGUGAAGUGACUUUGUAUUUUCCUUCCAGAGCUAGUUCUGGGAAGGUUCUGGUUGACAGUGAGCCCUGCGGAACAGAGACAUUCAGUUGCUUCAGGGUAACUUCCCCUGUACUGUGCUGAAAGAGGUGAACCCCAGGAGUCAAACAACUACAGCUUGCUCUGUACUUACAGCUUCAAAAAAAAGUAUGCGAACUGGGUGGACUGGUUUGAAUAAAGACAAGCCUGUUCUUGGAAGGUUCAAGUCGGAUUUUUUUUUUUUCUCUGACGUUUGAAAAUGUGAAUAAAGGUGAGAACUACCAUUUACUGUAUCCAGGGGUUAUUUCCUGGAAAGCACUCCAAACCUGUGACUUCCUUUCUUUGUGUUUCUAUCCUAUUCAUAUCU